GGGCCCGCACAAGCAGCGGAGCGUGUGGUUUAAUUCGAUGCAAAACGAAGAACCUUACCAAGGCUUGACAUGUUGGAAGUAGUGAACCGAAAGGGGAACGAACUGUUAAAUCAGUAGCCAUCACAGGUGCUGCAUGGCUGUCGUCAGCUCGUGCCGUGAGGUGUUUGGUUAAGUCCUGCAACGAGCGCAACCCUUAUGGCCAGUUAUAUUCUCUGGCAAGACUGCCUCGCACAACGGGGAGGAAGGUGGGGAUGACGUCAAGUCAGCACGGCCCUUAUGCCUUGGGCUACACACACGCUACAAUGGGUGGUACAAUAGGUUGCAAUAGAGCGAUCUGGAGCUAAUCCUAAAAGCCAUCCUCAGUUCAGAUUGCAGGCUGAAAUUCGCCUGCAUAAAGGUGGAGUUGCUAGUAAACGCAGGUCAGCAUACUGCGUUGAAUACGUUCUCGGGCCUU
rnacentral:rRNA from 1 species